CAAGUCGAGCGGACCGAACGGAAGCUUGCUUCUGUUCGGGUUAGCGGCGGACGAGUGAGUAACACGUGGGUAACCUGCCCGUAAGACCAGGAUAACUCCGGGAAACCGGGGCUAAUACCGGAUAACACCGAAGACCGCAUGGUCUCGGUUGAAAGGUGGCUUUUGCUACCACUUACGGAUGGGCCCGCGGCGCAUUAGGCUAGUUGGUGAGGUAAACGGCUCACCAAGGCAACGAUGCGUAGCCGGCCUGAGAGGGUGACCGGCCACACUGGGGACUGAGACACGGCCCAGACUCC
rnacentral:rRNA from 1 species